rnacentral:tRNA from 1 species
GCCGAUGUAGCUCAACGGUAGAGCACGGCUUUCGUAAAGCCGGGGUUGAGGGUCCGAUUCCCUCCAUCGGCU